rnacentral:rRNA from 1 species
GACGAACGCUGGCGGCGUGCUUAACACAUGCAAGUCGAACGGAAAGGCCCUGCUUUUGUGGGGUGCUCGAGUGGCGAACGGGUGAGUAACACGUGAGUAACCUGCCCUUGACUUUGGGAUAACUUCAGGAAACUGGGGCUAAUACCGGAUAGGAGCUCCUGCUGCAUGGUGGGGGUUGGAAAGUUUCGGCGGUUGGGGAUGGACUCGCGGCUUAUCAGCUUGUUGGUGGGGUAGUGGCUUACCAAGGCUUUGACGGGUAGCCGGCCUGAGAGGGUGACCGGCCACAUUGGGACUGAGGUACGGCCCAGACGCCUACGGGAGGCAGCAGUGGGGAAUAUUGCACAAUGGGCGGAAGCCUGAUGCGGCAACGCCGCGUGCGGGAUGACGGCCUUCGGGUUGUAAACCGCUUUCGCCUGUGACGAAGCGUGAGUGACGGUAAUGGGUAAAGAAGCACCGGCUAACUACGUG